AUUGAACGCUGGCGGCAGGCUUAACACAUGCAAGUCGAGCGGGGAAAAGUAGCUUGCUACUGGACCUAGCGGCGGACGGGUGAGUAAUGCUUAGGAAUCUGCCUAUUAGUGGGGGACAACAUCUCGAAAGGGAUGCUAAUACCGCAUACGUCCUACGGGAGAAAGCAGGGGACCUUCGGGCCUUGCGCUAAUAGAUGAGCCUAAGUCGGAUUAGCUAGUUGGUGAGGUAAAGGCCUACCAAGGCGACGAUCUGUAGCGGGUCUGAGAGGAUGAGCCGGCACACUGGGACGGAGACACGGGCCAGACUCGUACGGGAGGCAGCAGUGGGGAAUAGUGGACAAUGGGGGGAACCCUGAUCCAGCCAUGCCGCGUGUGUGAAGAAGGCCUUUUGGUUGUAAAGCACUUUAAGCGUGGAGGAGGCUACCGAGAUUAAUACUCUUGGAUAGUGGACGUUACUCGCAGAAUAAGCACCGGCUACCUCUGUGCCAGCCGCCGCGGUAACAC
rnacentral:rRNA from 1 species